GGGUGCGACCAUACCAGCACUAACGCCCCGGAUCCCAUCCGAACUCCGAAGUUGAGCGUGCUUGGGCGGGAGUAGUACUAGGAUGGGUAACCCCCUGGAAAGUCCUCGUGUUGCACCCC
rnacentral:rRNA from 1 species